rnacentral:rRNA from 1 species
CAGUAGCCACGGGAAUACAGAGGGUGCAAGCGUUAAUCGGAAUUACUGGGCGUAAAGCGCGCGUAGGUGGUUUGUUAAGUUGGAUGUGAAAUCCCCGGGCUCAACCUGGGAACUGCAUCCAAAACUGGCAAGCUAGAGUAUGGUAGAGGGUGGUGGAAUUUCCUGUGUAGCGGUGAAAUGCGUAGAUAUAGGAAGGAACACAAGUGGCGAAGGCGACCACCUGGACUGAUACUGACACUGAGGUGCGAAAGCGUGGGGAGCAAACAGGAUUAGAUACCCCCGUAGUCCCUGUCUCUUAUAA